rnacentral:rRNA from 1 species
AACGAACGCUGGCGGCAGGCCUAACACAUGCAAGUCGAACGCCGUAGCAAUACGGAGUGGCAGACGGGUGAGUAACGCGUGGGAACAUACCCCUCGGUUCGGAAUAACUCAGGGAAACUUGAGCUAAUACCGGAUACGUCCGAGGUUUUAAUCGACCUUGGAGAAAGAUUUAUCGCCGGAGGAUUGGCCCGCGUCUGAUUAGCUUGUUGGUGAGGUAAUGGCUCACCAAGGCGACGANCAGUAGCUGGUCUGAGAGGAUGAUCAGCCACAUUGGGACUGAGACACGGCCCAAACUCCUACGGGAGGCAGCAGUGGGGAAUAUUGGACAAUGGGCGAAAGCCUGAUCCAGCCAUGCCGCGUGAGUGAUGAAGGCCUUAGGGUGUAAAGCUCUUUACCCGGGAAGAUAAUGACGGUACCGGGAGAAUAAGCCCCGGCUAACUUCGUGCCAGCAGCCGCAGUAAU